rnacentral:rRNA from 1 species
GACGAACGCUGGCGGCGUGCUUAACACAUGCAAGUCGAACGGAGAAUUUUAUUUCGGUGAAAUUCUUAGUGGCGAACGGGUGAGUAACGCGUAGACAACCUACCUCUCAGAUGGGGACAACAUCGCGAAAGCGGUGCUAAUACCGAAUGAUGUAACUUUUCUGCAUGGAAGAGUUACCAAAGGCGGCCUCUAUUUAUAAGCUGUAACUGAGAGAUGGGACUGCGUCUGAUUAGCUAGUUGGCGGGGUAAUGGCCCACCAAGGCGACGAUCAGUAGCCGGUCUGAGAGGAUGAACGGCCACAUUGGGACUGAGACACGGCCCAAACUCCUACGGGAGGCAGCAGUGGGGAAUCUUCCGCAAUGGACGAAAGUCUGACGGAGCAACGCCGCGUGAGUGAAGAAGGUUUUCGGAUCGUAAAGCUCUGUUGUUUGAGACGAACGUGCAAUUUUUGAAUAAGGAAUUGUAAUGACGGUAUUAAACGAGAAAGCCACGGCUAACUACGUGCCAGCCGCCGCGGUAA